GCCAACCUAGCUCAAUGGCGGAGCAGCGGUUUCGUAAACCGCAGGUUGUGGGUUCGACUCCCACGGUUGGCUCCA
rnacentral:tRNA from 1 species